GAAGAGGUGCUGAGUUGGAGUUUGGUCUUCCUGCCUUGGACGUGAUCAAAGCUGUCCCUCUCCCGGUCCGCUCUGUGAGCCUGGCACUUUCCCCAUCGGGUGGUGGUGAGGACCAUCUGAGAUCACCAAUGAGUAUGUUCUGCAAAGGCCUCUGGGGACUCUCUGGGGGCUCCGAAGGAGUGCUGCCCCUUCCCUUUGAGCCUGAGCAGUCAGCAGUCCACCUUCUAGGCUGUUGGAGGAAGGAAGGGAGGAGCCUGUCCUAGCAUACAGAGCAGAUAAGGAGGGCUCUGCCAAGGGUGGGGCUGGCGGUGAUGACUCCUGUGACACCACUGAGGGCGUUUUCUGUAAUGAGGGGUGAUCUCAGGGUGUGCGUAGCUGUUCUCAGUCAUACCUGAAAUUUUGCCGUGUGGUACCACUCUGGGAGACAGACCCUGGCCUAGAUGAAGUUUGGGGCUGACUCAAUGAUGCUUUCCUGACAUGACUCCCAUGCUGGCCAAGCAGCCGGAAUCUUCCAUUGAGGGAAGGCUAAAGGAGGCCAAGUCUCUGCGUGUUGUGUGUGACCUGUAGUAGUCACCUCCUUGUGGGUGAGGAUCAGCGUCAGGAUAACAACCUCCAUGAAAACCAUCCCAAGGAGACCUCUCAGGACUGACGUAGGCUCCAGAGGAAGCCUCAGCCAUCCAGAAUCCUUCCUAGUGCGUUCACUUCAGAGGCCUUCACCACCAGUUGCUGCAUGACUACAAUGUUCCAUGUUGUCUCUGGAGGUUCAGAUGGCAGAGCUUAUGGAGAUCCACGACUCAGCGAGGAACAAAACUCAUGGAUACCAGAGACAUUCUGAAAGCCGUCCCAAACAGAGAGGGUCACAGACCAUUCAGCCAGCGUUGGCCCAGAGUUUGAAUCCUGCCUCAGACACUUGCUUAGCUAUGGAAACCAAGGCAAGUCACUCAACCUCUAUCUGCCUCAGUUUUCUCAUCUGCAAAAUGAGGAGAAUAAUAGCACCUUUCUCCCAGGCUUGUUUUAAGGAUCAGGCAAGAUAACACGCACAAAGUGCUUAAAUGAGGCUGUUAUGAUUGUUACAGUUAUUGUAGUCAUUGUUCUUUGUCCUUAAAUCUGGGGUCAUGAUGCCACCAAGAGUGGGACAAAGGCCAACCUUCGAAGAACAUAUACUUACUGUAGCUUCACACUUCAGUCCAUUGGGUUAGUGGAAACGCAGAGGUAGCAUGGGACAGUGAUGGGGGCACCACAGGACCAGAGCCAGCAGCCGACUCCGCCAUGUCCCGUGUGACUGAGCCCUGAUGUCUUCAUCUGCAAAAUGGCACCAGCUCCUCCUAGGGCUUAUGGAUGUGAGGCUGGUGCGUGAGGUUCACGGACGUGAAAAGUGCUUUGUCAUGGAAAAAGAACCAACGAGACUGUGAUUUAGUCAGUGACAGCCGUCUCAUUGCCUCCAGAUCUCCUCCUCCAAUAAGCUAGUCGGCUUCACCCCUUCAUCCUGUUUUUCUUUUUCACCAAACUGUCAAUGAACUGGGUAAAAACCAAAAUCCUGGGUCUUGGCUACCAAGAGUGUUGGUCCUGGUUUGUUUUGCAAGUGUACACACUUCUAACAAAUCAUUUAUCUGGAUGAUUCAUGGGUUUAUUAGUUAACUGUAACAGGGUUAUUUGUUUAAAAUUCAUUAAUAAAAAUAAUGCCAC
rnacentral:lncRNA from 1 species